rnacentral:rRNA from 1 species
AUACGUAGGGAGCGAGCGUUGUCCGGAAUUACUGGGUGUAAAGGGUGCGUAGGCGGGACUGCAAGUCAGAUGUGAAAUACCGGGGCUUAACCCCGGAGCUGCAUUUGAAACUGUGGUUCUUGAGUGAAGUAGAGGCAAGCGGAAUUCCUGGUGUAGCGGUGAAAUGCGUAGAUAUCAGGAGGAACACCGGUGGCGAAGGCGGCUUGCUGGGCUUUUACUGACGCUGAGGCUCGAAAGCGUGGGUAGCAAACAGGAUUAGAUACCCUGGUAGUCCACGCUGUAAACGAUGAUUACUAGGUGUGGGGGGACUGACCCCUUCCGUGCCGCAGUUAACACAAUAAGUAAUCCACCUGGGGAGUACGGCCGCAAGGUUGAAACUCAAAUGAAUUGACGGG